rnacentral:rRNA from 1 species
CUACGGGAGGCUCCAGUGAGGAACAUUGCACAAUGGGGGGAACCCUGAUGCAGCAACGCCGCGUGGAGGAUGACGCAUUUCGGUGUGUAAACUCCUUUUAUAUGUCAAGAAAAUGACGGUAGCAUAUGAAUAAGCACCGGCUAACUCCGUGCCAGCAGCCGCGGUAAUACGGAGGGUGCAAGCGUUACUCGGAAUCACUGGGCGUAAAGGACGCGUAGGCGGGUUGGAAAGUCAGGUGUGAAAUCCUACAGCUUAACUGUAGAACUGCACUUGAAACUUCCAAUCUAGAGUAUGGGAGGGGGAGAUGGAAUUAGUGGUGUAGGGGUAACAGCCGUAGAUAUCACUAGGAAUACCUAAAGCGAAGGCGAUCUCCUGGAACAUUACUGACGCUAAGGCGUGAAAGCGUGGGGAGCAAACAGGAUUAGAUACCCCCGUAGUC